GCCUGGUGGCUGCAGGGAGGGUUGUGUGUGCAGAGUGGUGUUGCAGCUGAAACAUCAGUGAUCUUGAGGCGUGCUGCUUAGGCCAACAUUGGACAGGAGCUGACUGUGUGCCGUUCCCCAGUGUGGGACAGGGCAGCCAUAUUAUAUAUUGGUGGAAAGCCCCCAAGGUGGAAAGCCUGGUUGCCAGACUGCUGCUUUGCCUGGAUGAAAUUUAACACUGUUUUGCCGGGAUUAAUGUUGGAGGGUCUUCCUGUGUUUCCAGCCAGAUUGUGGUGAAUUGUGAAAAUGUACCUGUGACCCUUAAGACUGUUCCGGGACUGUCAAUGUUGAACUUUGUACUGUUUUGGAUUGGAAGAUGUCUUUUUAACUAGUGUAUUAUCAACUGACUUUUAUUGUAGUUUUUGCUUUGUGUUUCCUAGGCAGUGUGGAGACCUGCGGGGAGCACUUGGGCCCCUCUGGCUUGCCGUGUGAUUGUGGUUUAUGAUUUGAUGGUGGUGGUCACUUGGUUGUGUCUGUUUUCUUUUUUUAUUUAUUCUCAUUCUCGUGUGGCGUGCAGUGUGCGCAUGUGCAUGGGUGUACCCUGGGCUGCAAUUGAACCUCCCCGCAGGAGACCCACUGCCCCCUUUUCUUCUCCCCUGUAGUUUUUAGGGCAGAUGCCUUAUCUCGCAGUUGAUAUUGUCUUUUAGCUGGUGUUAAAUAAAACUUUGACUGUG